rnacentral:rRNA from 1 species
GACAGAGGGUGCAAACGUUGCUCGGAAUCACUGGGCGUAAAGGGCGUGUAGGCGGGCAGGAAAGUCAGAUGUGAAAUCCCUGGGCUCAACCCAGGAACUGCAUUUGAAACUCCCUUUCUUGAGUGUCGGAGAGGAAAGUGGAAUUCCUGGUGUAGAGGUGAAAUUCGUAGAGAUCCGGAGGAACACCAGUGGCGAAGGCGACACGCUGGGCCGUACCUGAUGCUAAAGCGCGACAGCAUGGGGAGCAAACGGG